rnacentral:misc_RNA from 1 species
GUGGAGAAGCAGUUUCGAGAUGCAAAUCCUCGAAGACCUUUUCCAGCACGUCUGCUCUUGGCCUUCGAUGCUGGCAAGACCGGAGAACCCGCACAAUUUCCUUUUUUAAAAACGAAAUAGGGGGGUCCUCCGGUCCCAUGGCCGCGGGGGUUGCUUGAGACGGCCCUGUUUGCUCCAUGACCCCGGUUGCUUGACUAGUAGCUUCGUGGUCCCCCUCGUUUGGGGCCUCCUCUGCAAAAAAAC